UAUUUUAUACAUUCUUGGGUGAUACUUUGAAUAAAUAUUUUCUAAGUCUCACAAAUUAUUUUGUCUACACAAAACUAGUCAUUCUCAUUAUCUCAAGUGAUCGUCAAACUUUGAUUUCGUGAGCAUCGUUUCGUGGGCUUUAGAGUUUCUUCAAUUAGGAAGUAAAGCGCCUAUAAGGUAAGGGCUUUUUCCCCACACACUCAUGCUACAUAGGACGAUAUUGUGAUAUAAUAGUAGAACCUUUAUCGUUUAAAAUGAACCAAAGGAAACAAAUUUAUAUAAAACAAUAAGUAAUAUUAUUUAAAGAAAUAAGGAAUCAACCUAUUUUGAUGAAAUAAUUUCCAUCAGUAUGUGUAUGCUUGUUUUAACCUUAUCAUUAUAGAUUAUAUAUAUGUAUGCUAUGUUUGUCUGUUUCAUUCCAUAUGCGUUAGUAAUAUUUAUUGAUUUCCUUUAUCUAUUGAAAAUCAACAAGAACUAAAUAAAUAAAUUGAUUUCAAUCGGUGCAGUGGGAGUUAUAGUGGUGUGGGAGGGUGUUCGGGUUUUCAAGAAGGAAGUUAUUGAGACAUGCAUCAUAUAGGAUGUGUAUAACAGAGUUUAUAUANNNNNNNNNNNNUAUCCGGAUCAUUGUCUCAUAUAGGAUUGUCUUAGUUGCAUUGCAUUGCAUAUAGAGAGGAAGAAAAUUAACAAUAGUAGAUAAUUAUCCUAGUCAUAAAAGAACCAACGUAAAAAGGAAGAAAAAAAAAGAAAGGGUAUAGUUGUCCGUAGUAAAAUUGUGAUCGUUGCUUCUCUUAUUUCAUUCGACUUGUCGUGCAAUUUGUAAUAUGUGUAAUUAUGUUGCCUUGUUUAUUACUGCCAUUUAACAAUUAUAUGUUGCCUAUGUUUGUAUACGUGUAUCACCAAAAGUUUUUAUAAUAAACUAAUAAUUAUAUUUUUCAUAAGGUGAAGUGUUUUGUUAUUGUUUUAUGACAUCUUCUUGUGGUGAGUAUGAUUCAAUAUGGAUAAGGAAAUUGACCCUUACAACCAACAUUUUAGGUACUCAAGGAGAAAGCUUUGAUUGAAUGUGAUGUGAAUGUGAUGUGAUGCUUGAAGCGCGUACGAACGGGGAAAAUUGGGUUUUGUAAAUUUGACAAUUUUUAUGUAAUAAAAAGUUCAUGGUUGUAUUUUCUUCCGCUGAAAUUUUCAAACUAUUGUUCAAAUUAAUUAAGUUUAUAUUUCCAAGAAUUCUAUUUGAAUUAUUUUAUAACUAUUUAUUCG
rnacentral:lncRNA from 1 species